AGUGAACGCUGGCGGUAGGCCUAACACAUGCAAGUCGAACGGCAGCACAGUAAGAGCUUGCUCUUACGGGUGGCGAGUGGCGGACGGGUGGGGAAUACAUCGGAAUCUACUUUUUCGUGGGGGAUAACGUAGGGAAACUUACGCUAAUACCGCAUACGACCUACGGGUGAAAGCAGGGGAUCUUCGGACCUUGCGCGAUUGAAUGAGCCGAUGUCGGAUUAGCUAGUUGGCGGGGUAAAGGCCCACCAAGGCGACGAUCCGUAGCUGGCCGGAGAGGAUGAUCAGCCACACUGGAACUGAGACACGGUCCAGACUCCUACGGGAGGCAGCAGUGGGGAAUAUUGGACAAUGGGCGCAAGCCUGAUCCAGCCAUACCGCGUGGGUGAAGAAGGCCUUCGGAUUGUAAAGCACUUUGAGUUGGGAGGAAGGGCAGUAAGUUAAUACCUUGCUGUUUUGACGUUACCAACAGAAUAAGCACCGGCUAACUUCGUG
rnacentral:rRNA from 1 species